rnacentral:rRNA from 1 species
GUAGGUGGCAAGCGUUGUCCGGGAAUUAUUGGGCGUAAAGCGCGCGCAGGGCGGUCCUUUAAGUCUGAUGUGAAAGCCCACGGCUCAACCGUGGAGGGUCAUUGGAAACUGGGGGGCUUGAGUACAGAAGAGGAAAGCGGAAUUCCAAGUGUAGCGGUGAAAUGCGUAGAGAUUGGAGGAACACCAGUGGCGAAGGCGGCUUUCUGGUCUGUAACUGACGCUGAGGCGCGAAAGCGUGGGGAGCAAACAGGAUUAGAUACCCUGGUAGUCCACGCCGUAAACGAUGAGUGCUAAGUGUUAGGGGGUUUCCGCCCCUUAGUGCUGCAGCUAACGCAUUAAGCACUCCGCCUGGGGAGUACGGCCGCAAGGCUG